AAAGAAUGUGUUCCUCUCCCCUUAUAAAA
rnacentral:sRNA from 1 species